rnacentral:rRNA from 1 species
AACGCGAAGAACCACUUACCUUGGAAUCGUCCAGAGAAGGGGGAGUCCCUUCGGGAACCGGGAGACGGGGGCUGCGGGCGGUGCUCAGCUCGUGUCGGGGAUGUUGGGUUAACUCCCACAACGAGCGCAACCCUUGCCCUUAUUUGCCAUCAUUCAGUUGGGAACUCUAAGCGGGACCGCCCGUGACAAACCGGGAGGAAGGGGGGGAGACAUCAAGUCAUCAUGGCCCUUAUGACCAGGGCUACACACGUGCUACAAUGGGGGUACAAAGGGUCGCCAACCCGCGGAGGGGGAGCCAAUCCCAAAAAACCGAUCUAUUCCGGAUCGGGUCUGCAACUCGACCCCGGAAUUGGAAUCGCUAAUAAUCGCCAAACACCCAUGUCGCGUUAAAUACGUUCCCGGGUCUUGUACACACCG